UGACUUCCACAUUUGUGGCCACCAAAAAUCUCUUGAUAUGAGUUCCAGAGUCUUAUUAUAUCCAAAGUGCUCUGCUGCUGGAAAGUCAUGACGUGCUUGAAGAACACGCAAACGUGCUUUUCCUUCUGGAACAUAUAGGCGUCCUUCAAAAUAUAAUAGAUUAUUCUUGAACUCGAACUUAGAAGAAUCAUGAGACUUGGAAGAAUUAUUCUCGAUAUCAUGAACAAGAGGGUCUGAGGACAUACUGGACUGGAUUUGCUUGAGAAAAGUUGAAUCAACAGUCAAUGUUGAUUUCACUGCUCGGAGAUGAAAUUGCUCCGGUUUCAAGAGGACCGUUCUUUGUUGCUCAAAAGCUGCAUCUCCUUCUUUUGGUGCAAAAUAAGAACGUCUAGACAGGGCAUCGGACAAACCUUGUUGUUU
rnacentral:lncRNA from 1 species